CCUACGGGAGGCAGCAGUGGGGAAUAUUGGGCAAUGGAGGAAACUCUGACCCAGCGACGCCGCGUGCGGGAUGAAGGCCUUCGGGUUGUAAACCGCUUUCAGCAGGGAAGAAGCGAAAGUGACGGUACCUGCAGAAGAAGCACCGGCUAACUAUGUGCCAGCAGCCGCGGUAAUACAUAGGGUGCAAGCGUUGUCCGGAAUUAUUGGGCGUAAAGAGCUCGUAGGUGGUUCGUCACGUCGGAUGUGAAAAUCUGGGGCUUAACCCCAGACCUGCAUUCGAUACGGGCGAGCUUGAGUAUGGUAGGGGAGUCUGGAAUUCCUGGUGUAGCGGUGGAAUGCGCAGAUAUCAGGAGGAACACCAAUGGCGAAGGCAGGACUCUGGGCCAUUACUGACACUGAGGAGCGAAAGCGUGGGGAGCGAACAGGAUUAGAUACCCUGGUAGUCCACGCCGUAAACGGUGGGCACUAGUUGUGGGGACCUUCCACGGUCUCUGCGACGCNGCUACGCAUAGUCGCCCGCCGUCGGGAGGUACGAGUCGCGAAGAAUUAAACUACGAAGAAGUAGACGGCGUGAGACGUCGCCGACGGACGACGACGAGGGAGAGG
rnacentral:rRNA from 1 species